AGAAUGACUCUCGGCAACGGAUAUCUAGGCUCUUGCAUCGAUGAAGAACGUAGCGAAAUGCGAUACUUGGUGUGAAUUGCAGAAUCCCGUGAACCAUCGAGUCUUUGAACGCAAGUUGCGCCCAAUGCCACUAGGUUGAGGGCACGUCUGCCUGGGCGUCACAU
rnacentral:rRNA from 1 species